rnacentral:rRNA from 1 species
GUGAGGGAAAGGCGAAAAGAACCCCGGCGAGGGGAGUGAAAAAGAACCUGAAACCGUGUACGUACAAGCAGUGGGAGCACCCUUUGGGGUGUGACUGCGUACCUUUUGUAUAAUGGGUCAGCGACUUAUAUUCUGUAGCAAGGUUAACCGAAUAGGGGAGCCGGAGGGAAACCGAGUCUUAAUUGGGCGUUAAGUUGCAGGGUAUAGACCCGAAACCCGGUGAUCUAGCCAUGGGCAGGUUGAAGGUUGGGUAACACUAACUGGAGGACCGAACCGACUAAUGUUGAAAAAUUAGCGGAUGACCUGUGGCUGGGGGUGAAAGGCCAAUCAAACCGGGAGAUAGCUGGUUCUCCCCGAAAGCUAUUUAGGUAGCGCCUCGUGAAUUCAUCUCCGGGGGUAGAGCACUGUUUCGGCUAGGGGGCCAUCCCGGCUUACCAACCCGAUGCAAACUGCGAAUACCGGAGAAUGUUAUCACGGGAGACACACGGCGGGUGCUAACGUCCGUCGUGAAGAGGGAAACAACCCAGACCGCCAGCUAAGGUCCCAAAGUCAUGGUUAAGUGGGAAACGAUGUGGGAAGGCCCAGACAGCCAGGAUGUUGGCUUAGAAGCAGCCAUCAUUUAAAGAAAGCGUAAUAGCUCACUGGUCGAGUCGGCCUGCGCGGAAGAUGUAACGGGGCUAAACCAUGCACCGAAGCUGCGGCAGCGAACGUAUCACCCAAGACAACUUUGCGGAGUUGACGAUUGACGGAGCGAAGCGACGUCAAAGCGUUCAUUAAAGUCGAGUUGGCUUAGGGAUACGUUCGUUGGGUAGGGGAGCGUUCUGUAAGCCUGUGAAGGUGUGUCGUGAGGCAUGCUGGAGGUAUCAGAAGUGCGAAUGCUGACAUAAGUAACGAUAAAGCGGGUGAAAAGCCCGCUCGCCGGAAGACCAAGGGUUCCUGUCCAACGUUAAUCGGGGCAGGGUGAGUCGACCCCUAAGGCGAGGCCGAAAGGCGUAGUCGAUGGGAAACGGGUUAAUAUUCCCGUACUUGGUGUUACUGCGAAGGGGGGACGGAGAAGGCUAUGUUGGCCGGGCGACGGUUGUCCCGGUUUAAGCGUGUAGGUGUGUGUUCCAGGUAAAUCCGGUUCACUUUAACACUGAGGCGUGACGACGAGGCACUACGGUGCUGAAGCAACAAAUGCCCUGCUUCCAGGAAAAGCCUCUAAGCAUCAGGUAACAUCAAAUCGUACCCCAAACCGACACAGGUGGUCAGGUAGAGAAUACCAAGGCGCUUGAGAGAACUCGGGUGAAGGAACUAGGCAAAAUGGUGCCGUAACUUCGGGAGAAGGCACGCUGACACGUAGGUGAAGUGAUUUACUCAUGGAGCUGAAGUCAGUCGAAGAUACCAGCUGGCUGCAACUGUUUAUUAAAAACACAGCACUGUGCAAACACGAAAGUGGACGUAUACGGUGUGACGCCUGCCCGGUGCCGGAAGGUUAAUUGAUGGGGUCAGCGCAAGCGAAGCUCCUGAUCGAAGCCCCGGUAAACGGCGGCCGUAACUAUAACGGUCCUAAGGUAGCGAAAUUCCUUGUCGGGUAAGUUCCGACCUGCACGAAUGGCGUAAUGAUGGCCAGGCUGUCUCCACCCGAGACUCAGUGAAAUUGAACUCGCUGUGAAGAUGCAGUGUACCCGCGGCAAGACGGAAAGACCCCGUGAACCUUUACUAUAGCUUGACACUGAACAUUGAGCCUUGAUGUGUAGGAUAGGUGGGAGGCUUUGAAGCGUGGACGCCAGUCUGCGUGGAGCCGACCUUGAAAUACCACCCUUUAAUGUUUGAUGUUCUAACGUGGACCCGUGAUCCGGGUUGCGGACAGUGUCUGGUGGGUAGUUUGACUGGGGCGGUCUCCUCCUAAAGAGUAACGGAGGAGCACGAAGGUUGGCUAAUCCUGGUCGGACAUCAGGAGGUUAGUGCAAUGGCAUAAGCCAGCUUGACUGCGAGCGUGACGGCGCGAGCAGGUGCGAAAGCAGGUCAUAGUGAUCCGGUGGUUCUGAAUGGAAGGGCCAUCGCUCAACGGAUAAAAGGUACUCCGGGGAUAACAGGCUGAUACCGCCCAAGAGUUCAUAUCGACGGCGGUGUUUGGCACCUCGAUGUCGGCUCAUCACAUCCUGGGGCUGAAGUAGGUCCCAAGGGUAUGGCUGUUCGCCAUUUAAAGUGGUACGCGAGCUGGGUUUAGAACGUCGUGAGACAGUUCGGUCCCUAUCUGCCGU